rnacentral:rRNA from 1 species
UGAGGAAUAUUAGUAAUGGGCGAAAGCCUGAACUAGCAACACCGCGUGUGCGAAGAAGGCCUUCGGGUUGUAAAGCACUUUUUGAGAGGAUGAGGAAGGACGGUACUCUCAGAAUAAGUCUCGGCUAACUACGUGCCAGCAGCCGCGGUAACACGUAGGAGGCAAACGUUAUCCGGAUUUACUGGGCGUAAAGCGCGUGUAGGUGGUUUGGUAAGUAGAGCGUGAAAGCUCCUGGCUCAACUGGGAGAGGCCGUUCUAAACUACAGAACUAGAGGAUGGUAGAGGGAGGUGGAAUUCCAGGUGUAGCGGUGGAAUGCGCAGAUAUCUGGAGGAACACCAGUGGCGAAGGCGGCCUCCUGGACCAUUCCUGACACUCAGACGCGAAAGCUAGGGUAGCAAACG